rnacentral:pre_miRNA from 1 species
UGUUUGAUUUCCUUCAACUACUACUAGAACUACAUUUGUUCUAUGCUCUUAUGCCGAACAAAUGUAGUUCUAGUAGUAGUUGAAGGAAAUCAAACA